rnacentral:misc_RNA from 1 species
GUAUAGUAUUUAAAGGUCAAAGACCAUUUAAAAGACAUUCAAAGACAAACAUAGGGUAGAUAUAAACAUAGACCACGAACUAUCAAGGGACAAGUCCCUCAAACCGCCAUUUUCAGGCGAGAGUUCAUUCGUGAUCUACAAAGGUUCACAGGUGGAAAAGUAGUAGAGACAAGUGGCGAGCACAUUACUCCGAAAAGCCAGCUACAACCAACUUGCAAAUACAUUCAAUAAUGAUCCUUCCGCAGGUUCACCUACGGAAA